rnacentral:rRNA from 1 species
UGACGGUACCACUUGAAUAAGCUCCGGCUAACUACGUGCCAGCAGCCGCGGUAAUACGUAGGGAGCAAGCGUUAUCCGGAUUUACUGGGUGUAAAGGGCGUGUAGGCGGGACUGCAAGUCAGAUGUGAAAGCACGAGGCUCAACUUCGUGUCUGCAUUUGAAACUGUAGUUCUUGAGUGUUGGAGAGGCUAACGGAACUCCUAGUGUAGCGGUGAAAUGCGUAGAUAUUAGGAAGAACACCAGUGGCGAAGGCGGUUAGCUGGACAAUAACUGACGCUGAGGCGCGAAAGCGUGGGUAGCAAACAGGAUUAGAUACCCUG